UACGUAGGGUCCGAGCGUUGUCCGGAAUUAUUGGGCGUAAAGGGCUCGUAGGCGGUCCGUCACGUCGGGAGUGAAAACUCAGGGCUCAACCCUGAGCGUGCUUCCGAUACGGGCGGACUAGAGGUAUGCAGGGGAGAACGGAAUUCCUGGUGUAGCGGUGAAAUGCGCAGAUAUCAGGAGGAACACCAAUGGCGAAGGCAGCUCGCUGGGACGUAACUGACGCUGAGACGCGAAAGCGUGGGGAGCAAACAGG
rnacentral:rRNA from 1 species